rnacentral:rRNA from 1 species
UACGUAGGGUGCAAGCGUUGUCCGGAAUUAUUGGGCGUAAAGAGCUUGUAGGCGGUUUGUCGCGUCUGCUGUGAAAUUUCGGGGCUCAACCCCGAACUUGCAGUGGGUACGGGCAGACUAGAGUGCAGAAGGGGCAACUGGAAUUCUCGGUGUAGCGGUGAAAUGCGUAGAUAUCGAGAGGAACACCUGCGGCGAAGGCGGGUUGCUGGGCUGACACUGACGCUGAGGCGCGAAAGCCAGGGGAGCGAACGGG